AGGCGGCUGGCGAGCUCUUCUCUUCCUGCCGAGGUGCAAUUCUUUCUUUUGGUUCAACAGUUCAGAGUUGUGAAACGGUCGCUUCAUGCUGGUGCUGGCAGGCCGGCCGGCGGGUUCACCGCUGGUUAACGACUGCAGAGGAAACCUGCAGACUCUGCAAACAUUAACGACGGACAUGUUUAUGCAGUUGGAAGCUGUCAAAUAUGGGAGAGCUGCACUUAAAGAAACCCAGAAACUUUGAAGCCUGUUUCCACAGAGCCGAGGGGAGGAGGAGCCGCCGAGGUGAGGAUGUUGGUUUUGGCAGCGGAGAGAACAGAAUCGGUGCAGAGAGAAGAGCAGAAGAGCUGCUGUUGCUAACGGAGCUAACUGGGCAGUAGCAGGGUCGCGUUUCUAAAUGAAGCGGUAUCAGAUCGGUGCAGAGACGAUGACACCGAUAACGUUGUAGCACACUAUUGCAGUAUCGUCUGCACAUCCAGUACUGGUGUCAGAACAACUAAUACUUUGACAUGCAGCCAGAGGAGCCUGGGACUCGAACCAGCAACCUUCGGACUGUUGGACAACCUGCUGUAGUUCCCGAGCUGUGAGAGUAACGUCUCUUUUUCAACUGAGAAAAUGGCGACGGAGCUCAAACAGUUGAGUUUGAUUAAUAAAUAGCAUGAAAAUGACAUCAGGCCGGAUGAGAAAGGAAACAAGAUGGCAGUGCGGUGAGCAGAAAAACUGCACGAGCUCUAAAUAUGAGCGAACAUGUAUUCAUGCAGAAAUAGAUCACACAUGAGAUGUACAGCAGUCAGACAGGAUGUGGUUUACAAAAUAAAAGCCACGAUCAUAAAGACA